rnacentral:misc_RNA from 1 species
GUGAAGAACGUAGCAAAAUGCGAUAAGUAAUGUGAAUUGCAGAAUUCAGUGAAUCAUCGAAUCUUUGAACGCACAUUGCGCCCGCCAGUAUUCUGGCGGGCAUGCCUGUUCGAGCGUCAUUUCAACCCUCAAGCCCUCGGGUUUGGUGUUGGGGAUCGGCGAGCCUUUCUGGCAAGCCGGCCCCGAAAUCUAGUGGCGGUCUCGCUGCAGCCUCCAUUGCGUAGUAGUAAAACCCUCGCAACUGGAACGCGGCGAGGCCAAGCCGUUAAACCCCCAACUUCUGAAUGUUGACCUCGGAUCAGGUAGGAAUACCCGCUGAACUUAAGCAUAUCAAUAAGCGGAGGA